rnacentral:rRNA from 1 species
UGAGUAACGCGUAUGCAACUUGCCUAUCAGAGGGGGAUAACCCGGCGAAAGUCGGACUAAUACCGCAUGAAGCAGGGAUCCCGCAUGGGAAUAUUUGCUAAAGAUUCAUCGCUGAUAGAUAGGCAUGCGUUUCAUUAGGCAGUUGGCGGGGUAACGGCCCACCAAACCGACGAUGGAUAGGGGUUCUGAGAGGAAGGUCCCCCACAUUGGAACUGAGACACGGUCCAA